rnacentral:rRNA from 1 species
UACGAAGGGUGCAAACGUUGCUCGGAAUUAUUGGGCGUAAAGGGCGCGUAGGCGGUGCGGUAAGUCACCUGUGAAACCUCUGGGCUUAACUCAGAGCCUGCAGGCGAAACUGCCGUGCUUGAGUGUGGGAGAGGUGCGUGGAAUUCCCGGUGUAGCGGUGAAAUGCGUAGAUAUCAGGAGGAACACCGGUGGCGAAGGCGGGUCUCUGGGCCGAUACUGACGCUGAGGAGCGAAAGCGUGGGGAGCGAACAGG